rnacentral:rRNA from 1 species
UACGUAGGUGGCAAGCGUUGUCCGGAUUUACUGGGCGUAAAGAGCGCGCAGGCGGUCGUUCAAGUCGCGUGUGAAAGCCCCCGGCUCAACUGGGGAGGGUCACGCGAUACUGAUCGACUCGAAGGCAGGAGAGGGUAGUGGAAUUCCUGGUGUAGCGGUGAAAUGCGCAGAUAUCAGGAGGAACACCAGCGGCGAAGGCGGCGCUCUGGGCCGGUACUGACACUUAGGAGCGAAAGCGUGGGUAGCAAACAGG